rnacentral:rRNA from 1 species
GACGAACGCUGGCGGCGUGCUUAACACAUGCAAGUCGAACGGAAAGGCCCUGCUUUUGUGGGGUGCUCGAGUGGCGAACGGGUGAGUAACACGUGAGUAACCUGCCCUUGACUUUGGGAUAACUUCAGGAAACUGGGGCUAAUACCGGAUAGGAGCUCCUGCUGCAUGGUGGGGGUUGGAAAGUUUCGGCGGUUGGGGAUGGACUCGCGGCUUAUCAGCUUGUUGGUGGGGUAGUGGCUUACCAAGGCUUUGACGGGUAGCCGGCCUGAGAGGGUGACCGGCCACAUUGGGACGGGGAUACGGCCCAGACUCCUACGGGAGGCAGCGGUGGGGAAUAUUGCACAAUGGGCGGAAGCCUGAUGCAGCACCGCCGCGUGGGGAAUGACGGCCUUCGGGUUGUAAACCGCUUUCGCCUGUGACGAAGCGUGAGUGACGGUAAUGGGUAAAGAAGCACCGGCUAACUACGU